GGAAACUAUGAUUAUCAAGGUCAAUUUUUGCAAGGGGUUGCUUACAAAGCAGUAAUUGUGUCAAAAGUUUAUUAAAAGUUACAAAUGAAACAAACCUUUCUUAAACUCAACUCCAGUCACAGGGGAUCAAUUCACAGGGGUUUCCUCACAGACAGAUGCCAUGGGCACAGGACAACCUGGUGCUACGGAACAAACACAGACAGCUGUAUCAGCAGGUGAACAGUACCACACAUCUGGUCAGGGUCCUGAAG
rnacentral:lncRNA from 1 species